GGUAAAAACCAGUGACUGAGCUGCUCGUAAAAAAAAAAAGGAGCAAAAGAGAGAAGAGAACAGAAAGGAACACACGAAACCAAAACCGGUGAGAGAGAAAAGGAAGAGAGUUCGCGAGAGAGGGGCGAACAGCGAGAGGAAGAGGAGACCGAAUCCCACCGUGUGUGCAAUUCGCUGCCAUCGACGCCGUAGAACAUCAAGGCAAGUAGAAGUUCAUUAAUCUAUGUUAUGCAUGCUGUGAUUAUCUGGUGAUGUACAAAUAGACCGGAGAAGGUCCGAAUUUGAUAUUGCAUGUUGCAUUUGAGGCUGCAUGUCUUGAAAUCUAAGAGUGAAUGAGCUGUGGAGAAUUCUAUGUGAGUGGGAACCGGCUGUGUUUACUCCUAGACGCUGUGGAUGUGUGUUGAGAUGCUACAUGAUGAAUUUGUAGUAAAACAAACGGAUUGAUUGAGCUGGAAACGAAGAGAAAGGCAUAAGUUGUUUUCUGUUUUAGAGGAACAUGGAUAGAAAGUCGUUUAUUUUGUGUCGCUUUGAUUUCUAAAGAUGAAGAUGAGGAAUAAAACCAUUUUACUUAAGAUAACAUCCAUUAGAUUGAUUUUAACUCAUAGUUAUAACUAUAUGAAUACAAGAAUGUGUAGAUAGAAUCAAUUCAUUUUAAAACAGAAAAACUGUUCCGUAGAAAAACAGCCUGACCCUUGAUGAUUCCACGAAUUUUCUGUAUUUAUCUAGAUAGAGUUGAACUUCGAAUCCUUAAUUAAAAUUGUAGGACAUAUCCUUAGGAAUAAUAUAUCGAAAUUUGAGAAUAAAUGGACAAUUUUUGGUCGGUGAAAUGAUUUUUCUUGUAAAUAUUAAAUCUGGAAGCUAUUACAGAGUGUUAGUAAGGAAUAUCGAAAUUACUGCUCUUGAUAUACAACGAAUCUGACUUAGUGUUCUUCACAAAACUUUUACCUCUAGGUCUUAUCUAUAAACUAUAAAAAUCUCAGGAUUUUCUGAGUUCAUUUAGGGGUUAUUCCGCAAUUUUCAUUAAAACUACACAUUCUGGUUUUUAAGCUGUUUUUACUCCAACUUUGCUCAAUUGAUUUCAAAAGUGAAUGCAUCUUGAGUGGUUAUAUGACAUGAUGAUACUGGCAUUGGCAUAUCAUGCAAUAUUGAGAUGUGAUGAGACUCAAGAGACAUCUUGUCAUUGCAUUGAAAAGUAUUUUGGAAAUUAAGAUGUUAAUGCUACCGUUGGACCCUCGGGUCAACGAUGCCCCGGGAGUCGGGAUGCCUAGAGGUUCGAAUGAGUCAAUGCCCUUUGGAUGCCUGGUUGUAUUUUGAAUACAUGCCCAGAGGAUUUUCCCCGGGAGUUUUGGGAUGCCCGGUAGUACAUCAAUAUGUAAUUCCGGGGGAGGCCCGAUGGUAUGUCGGUAUGUAACUCCGAAAGGCAGGGGUAACCAUUUUCAUGGCAAGCCCCGGCAAUUCCUCGUGAUGCCAGGUGGGAUGCGAGAUGCCCGGAGGUGUGUGUCAGAUGCCCGGAGGUGUGUGCCGGAGGACUUCGCGACGCUAGGAUUGGGUGCGAAUGCCUAGAAGAAUGCAAACAUUGGUCCUCUAGGGGUUGAAACCUAUUGAAUGUUAAAACUGAUGGUUCCACUAAGUGUGCAUGUGGUCUGGUUAUAGGACUAAAUUGUAUGGCAUGGAAUGGGAUGUGCCGUUACAGUUUGGCCCUAUGAUCGAGACUUUGGUGACUGGACAUGAUGCAUCUUAUUGGUUGGAAAUGCACCGGUCAUUGCAUUGAAGAGUUAUAUGGUUUGGAUGCAUACUCAUUCAUUGAUUGCCUAUCUUGUCUAUCUUGCAUUCUAGAUAUUGAUGGUACUGCGUGAUAUAGCUUAAUGAAUCUUUUAAUGCUGAGUGGUUGUACUCACCCCUUUUGGGGACUAACAUUUCAAACUAGAUAAGAUACCUCUGCUGCCACUGCCACCGGUAGAUGGAUCAAGUGGUUGGAUAUGACCGCGAGGAGGAGGACAGCAAAGAAAGGAACUUUUGGACGCCGACACUGAUCGAUGGACUUUGAAUAUACGACUGUUGGAAAAGAUGUCAGUCAUCUUUUGAAGUAUAGCCGAGUAUAGAAGACUACCGCAUUUUGAUGUACCGAUGAAUGAUGUCCAUCUGGUUUAAAUAAAUAAAAGUGUUCGGCUUUUACCUAUAAAUGUUUAGUUGGUGUGCAUCGUUUUCUGAAUAUAGGGAAG
rnacentral:lncRNA from 1 species